rnacentral:rRNA from 1 species
AGCGAACGCUGGCGGCAGGCCUAACACAUGCAAGUCGAACGAACCUUUCGGGGUUAGUGGCGGACGGGUGAGUAACACGUGGGAACGUGCCUUUAGGUUCGGAAUAACUCAGGGAAACUUGUGCUAAUACCGAAUGUGCCCUUCGGGGGAAAGAUUUAUCGCCUUUGGAGCGGCCCGCGUCUGAUUAGCUAGUUGGUUGAGGUAAUGGCUCACCAAGGCGCCGUUCAGUAGCUGGUCUGAGAGGAUGUUCACCACCAUUGGGCCUGGGACCCGGCCCAAAUCCUUCGGGAUGGAGGAAUGGGGGAAGUUGCGCCAAGGGCGGAAGGCUGAAGGCACCAUGCCGCGUGAAUGAUGAAGGUCUUAGGAUUGUAAAAUUCUUUCACCGGGGACGAUAAUGACGGUACCCGGAGAAGAAGCCCCGGCUAACUUCGUG